AGUCAAAGACAACGCUUCGUAAAAAGCGUUGUCUAUUAGCCUUUUUUUUAGUGUCUACGACAACGAUUUUUAAAAAGCGUUGUCUACUGUCAAGUUAUCAUCUCAAUCUUAAGUGAUCUGGACCACUUAUCUCAAGAUCUGACGGCUGGAUCUUCAUCCAUCUUCAUCACAAUAUGGACGACCCAGAUUAAAGGAGGAGAAAACUUCGUUUCCUUUUACCCAUGCGACGAUACAGUGUUGGUGAUUCCUUUCUGUUCACGACAUCUCCUCUCGCGCGGCUAGGGCACGCGACCUCCCACCGCCGGCCAUCUCUUCUUCCUCACCACCGGCCGGCAGCUCUUUCUUCUCUUCACUGUCGCACAUACCCCUCAGGAAUCGGGAAGUGCGGUGGUGGAUUUCGCCGGCGAUGACGACGCCCAACAACCUUCCCAACGACGACCACCACCAGCGCCCACACCCUCCGCCCGACCCUCGAAGGCAGCGCCACUGCCUCGGCACGCCCAUCGCCACCCCUUCCUCCUCUUCCUCCGCCGCCUCCUUCAAGGGUUGCUGCUGCUGCCUCUUCCUACUCCUCACCUUCCUCGCCCUCCUCGCCGUCGCCGUCACCGUCGCUCUCGUCAUCAUCCUCGUCCUCAAGCCCAAGAAGCCCUAGUUCGACCUCCAGCAGGUGGCCGUGCAGUACCUCCUCGUCGCCCCAGUUUCAAAUCCAAGCUUGAGAACCCUAUUGUCAAGCUCUUCGACUGAAGAUUUUGGCUCUAGAUCGUUACUAGCUUUCUUGGUAGAGAAUGGAAAUUUGGGGCUUUCAUGGAACCCUAGAAACCAAACGGUGGGUGUGAGCUCAAAAACAGAAGGUGAGGUUGGAGCCAAUUCCAUUAAUUGCCUCUCGCCUCAACCGAAGUUGUUUGGUGACUCUAAAUCAAGCUCAUUUGGAGGGCUUGCACAGGGGAUGGCAACAAGAAAAGGUUUCAAUGUUCCAAAGCUUGAUACAGCCAACAUUCCAUUCACUAGCUUGAUACGGGCUUGAGGUGUCUCAUAGUUGGGAAGAUCGAAAAGAAAGAAGAUCCGAUGCGGAGAACUCUAAGGAUGAAAGACGAAGAUUAAGUAUUGGAGCUUUAAAGAAAAAGGCACUGAGUGCUUCUUCUAAGUUCACACAUUCUCUCAAGAAGCGAGGGAAGAGGAGAGAUGUUAAUAGGACUUCUUCUGUUUCAAUCGAGAAUGAUAGGGAUUUGGAAGAGGAGCACGAAGUAUACACAUUCCGCAAGGGGCUAAUUUCUAGGGACUUAUUGCCUGAUAAACAUGACGACUAUCACAUGCUGCUCAGGUUUCUGAAAGCUAGAAAAUUUGAUCGUGAGAAAGCAACUCUUAUGUAGGCAGAUAUGCUUUAGUGGAGACAGGAAUUUGGAGCAGAUACAAUUUUGGAUAUAUACAAUGGUAGGUGUUUUGUCCUAGUCUCAAGCCGACAAUUCUUUUUUAUCAGUAUAUCUAAUAGAAGUAAGCAUGCAGAUCGUUGUCUUCGAGGCCGACUAGCUAUUUUGUGCUUUUUUUGUUUUAAAUUCGAAUGUCACUAUCUACUUUGAAACAGAACUAUUUAGUCUUUGUGUAUAGUUGAA